rnacentral:misc_RNA from 1 species
GAUGAAGAACGUAGCGAAAUGCGAUAAGUAGUGUGAAUUGCAGAAUUCAGUGAAUCAUCGAAUCUUUGAACGCACAUUGCGCCCCAUGGUAUUCCGUGGGGCAUGCCUGUUCGAGCGUCAUUUACCCCCUCAAGCUCCGCUUGGUGUUGGGCGUCUGUCCCGCUUCGCGCGCGGACUCGCCCCAAAGGUAUUGGCAGCGGUCGUGCCAGCUUCUCGCGCAGCACAUUGCGCUUCUCGAGGCACCGGUGGGCCCGCGUCCAUCAAGCUCACCCCCCCAGUUUGACCUCGGAUCAGGUAGGGAUACCCGCUGAACUUAAGCAUAUCAAUAGGCGGAGGA